CUAUUUUUGUCUUUUUAAGUUUUUGAGUUUGUUUCCUCUUCAACCCACGAAGCCUUAUUUCCCCCAUUCACCUAAUCUUCUCCUCCUCACCAACACCCAUCCCAAAACCUUAACCCUAACCCUAACCUAGCCCCUUCCCCUUCAUCCUUAAUUUUUUGAUGUUGGGUUUGGGCACUGGGCAAAUGGCCAGAGAACCCACUGGUUUGAGAACCUGCCCACUCAUUUAUUUAUUUAUUUGACUCGAGCCCAGAACAGAGCCCAUGGCUACAACCAAGCUAGAAUGUCUCUAUGGGUGUCUUCAUUUCAGGUGCUGGUCCAGCAUGUA